rnacentral:rRNA from 1 species
GAUGAACGCUCGCGGGAGGCCUAACACAUGCAAGCCGAGCGGUAUUUGUUCUUCGGAACAGAGAGAGCGGCGCACGGGUGCGGAACACGUGUGCAACCUGCCUUUAUCUGGGGGAUAGCCUUUCGAAAGGAAGAUUAAUACCCCAUAAUAUAUUGAGUGGCAUCAUUUGAUAUUGAAAACUCCGGUGGAUAGAGAUGGGCACGCGCAAGAUUAGAUAGUUGGUGAGGUAACGGCUCACCAAGUCAAUGAUCUUUAGGGGGCCUGAGAGGGUGAUCCCCCACACUGGUACUGAGACACGGACCAGAAUCCUACGGGAGGCAGCAGUGAGGAAUAUUGGACAAUGGGUUAGCGCCUGAUCCAGCCAUCCCGCGUGAAGGACGACGGCCCUAUGGGUUGUAAACUUCUUUUGUAUAGGGACAAACCUACUCUCGUGAGAGUAGCUGAAGGUACUAUACGAAUAAGCACCGGCUAACUCCGUG